UACCAGCACCCCGAGUGGUCGGGGCGAUUAUUGGGCCUAAAGCAUCCGUAGCCGGUCCUGCAAGUCUUCCGUUAAAUCCAGCUGCUCAACAGAUGGGCUGCGGGGGAUACUACAUGGCUAGGAGGCGGGAGAGGCAAGCGGUACUUUAUGGGUAGGGGUAAAAUCCGUUGAUCCAUAGAAGACCACCAGUGGCGAAGGCGGCUUGCCAGAACGCGCUCGACGGUGAGGGAUGAAAGCUGGGGGAGUAAACCGG
rnacentral:rRNA from 1 species